CAGUGAAAUUGAACUCGCUGUGAAGAUGCAGUGUACCCGCGGCAAGACGGAAAGACCCCGUGAACCUUUACUAUAGCUUGACACUGAACAUUGAGCCUUGAUGUGUAGGAUAGGUGGGAGGCUUUGAAGUGUGGACGCCAGUCUGCAUGGAGCCGACCUUGAAAUACCACCCUUUAAUGUUUGAUGUUCUAACGUGGACCCGUUACCCGGGUUGCGGACAGUGUCUGGUGGGUAGUUUGACUGGGGCGGUCUCCUCCUAAAGAGUAACGGAGGAGCACGAAGGUUGGCUAAUCCUGGUCGGACAUCAGGAGGUUAGUGCAAUGGCAUAAGCCAGCUUGACUGCGAGCGUGACGGCGCGAGCAGGUGCGAAAGCAGGUCAUAGUGAUCCGGUGGUUCUGAAUGGAAGGGCCAUCGCUCAACGGAUAAAAGGUACUCCGGGGAUAACAGGCUGAUACCGCCCAAGAGUUCAUAUCGACGGCGGUGUUUGGCACCUCGAUGUCGGCUCAUCACAUCCUGGGGCUGAAGUAGGUCCCAAGGGUAUGGCUGUUCGCCAUUUAAAGUGGUACGCGAGCUGGGUUUAGAACGUCGUGAGACAGUUCGGUCCCUAUCUGCCGUGGGCGCUGGAGAACUGAGGGGGGCUGCUCCUAGUACGAGAGGACCGGAGUGGACGCAUCACUGGUGUUCGGGUUGUCAUGCCAAUGGCACUGCCCGGUAGCUAAAUGCGGAAGAGAUAAGUGCUGAAAGCAUCUAAGCACGAAACUUGCCCCGA
rnacentral:rRNA from 3 species